GCGGCGUGCCUAAUACAUGCAAGUCGAGCGGACAGAAGGGAGCUUGCUCCCGGAUGUUAGCGGCGGACGGGUGAGUAACACGUGGGUAACCUGCCUGUAAGACUGGGAUAACUCCGGGAAACCGGAGCUAAUACCGGAUAGUUCCUUGAACCGCAUGGUUCAAGGAUGAAAGACGGUUUCGGCUGUCACUUACAGAUGGACCCGCGGCGCAUUAGCUAGUUGGUGAGGUAACGGCUCACCAAGGCGACGAUGCGUAGCCGACCUGAGAGGGUGAUCGGCCACACUGGGACUGAGACACGGCCCAGACUCCUACGGGAGGCAGCAGUAGGGAAUCUUCCGCAAUGGACGAAAGUCUGACGGAGCAACGCCGCGUGAGUGAUGAAGGUUUUCGGAUCGUAAAGCUCUGUUGUUAGGGAAGAACAAGUGCAAGAGUAACUGCUUGCACCUUGACGGUACCUAACCAGAAAGCCACGGCUAACUACGUGCCAGCAGCCGCGGUAAUACGUAGGUGGCAAGCGUUGUCCGGAAUUAUUGGGCGUAAAGGGCUCGCAGGCGGUUUCUUAAGUCUGAUGUGAAAGCCCCCGGCUCAACCCGGGGAGGGUCAUUGGAAACUGGGAAACUUGAGUGCAGAAGAGGAGAGUGGAAUUCCACGUGUAGCGGUGAAAUGCGUAGAGAUGUGGAGGAACACCAGUGGCGAAGGCGACUCUCUGGUCUGUAACUGACGCU
rnacentral:rRNA from 1 species